AGCAGCAUGGCGCAGCUGGAAGCGCGCGGGGCCCAUAUGUCUAUACUUUGCGACCCCGAGGUCACUUGAUCGAAACAAGUUGCUGCUA